rnacentral:rRNA from 1 species
CGCGUGAGGGAUGACGGCCUAUGGGUUGUAAACCUCUUUUUUCAGGGAGGAAUAAAUGACGUGUACCUGAAGAAUAAGCAUCGGCUAACUCCGUGCCAGCAGCCGCGGUAAGACGGAGGAUGCAAGUGUUAUCCGGAAUCACUGGGCGUAAAGCGUCUGUAGGUGGUUUAAUAAGUCAACUGUUAAAUCUUGAAGCUCAACUUCAAAAUCGCAGUCGAAACUAUUAGACUAGAGUAUAGUAGGGGUAAAGGGAAUUUCCAGUGGAGCGGUGAAAUGCGUAGAGAUUGGAAAGAACACCGAUGGCGAAGGCACUUUACUGGGCUAUUACUAACACUGAGAGACGAAAGCUAGGGUAGCAAAUGGGAUUAGAUACCCCAGUAGUCCUAGCCGUAAACAAUGGAUACUAGAUGUUGAACAGAUCGACCUGUGCAGUAUUAAAGCUAACGCGUUAAGUAUCCCGCCUGGGAAGUAUGCUCGCAAGAGUGAAACUUAAAGGAAUUGACGGAAACUCAAAGGAAUUGACGGAAACUUAAAGGAAUUGACGGAAACUUAAAGGAAUUGACGGAAACUUA